rnacentral:ncRNA from 1 species
UGAGUAACACGUAAGAACAUGUCCUUGGAAGGGGAACAACAGUUGGAAACGGCUACUGAUACCCCAUAGGCUGAGGAGCAAAAAGAGGAAUCCGUCCGUGGAAGGACUGGCUUUUGAUUAGUUAGUUGGUGAGGCAAUAGCUUACCAAAGCAAUGAUUAGUAACUGGUCCGAGAGGUUGAUCAACA